CCUACGGGAGGCAGCAGUGGGGAAUUUUGGACAAUGGGGGAAACCCUGAUCCAGCAAUGCCGCGUGUGUGAAGAAGGCCUUCGGGUUGUAAAGCACUUUUGUCCGGAAAGAAAACUUCUGCCCUAAUACGGUGGGAGGAUGACGGUACCGGAAGAAUAAGCACCGGCUAACUACGUGCCAGCAGCCGCGGUAAUACGUAGGGUGCGAGCGUUAAUCGGAAUUACUGGGCGUAAAGCGUGCGCAGGCGGUUCGUUAAGACAGAUGUGAAAUCCCCGGGCUUAACCUGGGAACUGCAUUUGUGACUGGCGAGCUAGAGUAUGGCAGAGGGGGGUAGAAUUCCACGUGUAGCAGUGAAAUGCGUAGAGAUGUGGAGGAAUACCGAUGGCGAAGGCAGCCCCCUGGGCCAAUACUGACGCUCAUGCACGAAAGCGUGGGGAGCAAACAGGAUUAGAUACCCUGGUAGUCCACGCCCUAAACGAUGUCAACUAGUUGUUGGGUCUUCAUUGACUUAGUAACGUAGCUAACGCGUGAAGUUGACCGCCUGGGGAUACGGUCGCAAGAUUAAAGCUCAAAGGAAUUGACGGNNGAGACGNGCGAGACGACGACGAGGGAGAG
rnacentral:rRNA from 1 species